GCCAGCCAGUCAACCAACCAACCAACCAACCAACCAACCAACGAAACAAACAAACAAACAAAUAAACAGCAAAGCAGCAAAGCCAGCCAUCCAAGAUAUCCAUAUAUUUUUUCCCUUUUUUUUUUUUCAUUUGGUGGUAUUUAAUGCUGCAUGUGUCGGAAAGUGAAAAAAAUACAAAAUUUCUAUAAGAAAAACCAGUGCAAAAAAAAAUAAAAUAAAUAUAUAUAUAUAUAUAUAUAUAUAUAUAUAUCCACAACAACACCAACAAUAACGACAUAAACUACUAAAAUAUCAACGAAGACGACGAGGAAUUGUUAAAAAAAAAAGGAAAGAAAGAAGAAGAAGAAGAAAAAAAUUAAAUAAAAAUUUACAAAAAAUGUAAAAGAAAGAAAAGUUUUCAUAAUCAAUAAUCGGUGUAUACAUCUUAUCCAACCCUGUGCGGGCUCUUUGUCAAACGCAAUGGAAAUCAUUCCUCUAUUAAAACAUCAUGAAUAAUUAUUAAAAAAUUUGAUGCAUAAAACUGUCAAUUUUACCCCACAAAUCCAUGUUCAACAAUCGGCCUUUAAAAUAAAUUUCAAAGGCUUCAUUCUCUAUAUUCAUUUGGAGGAAUAUUUAUGGAUUUAUUAUUAUAACUACUUACACAUUUAAUUGGAUACACAAAAAAAAAAAA